GACGAAGGGGGCUAGCGUUGUUCGGAAUUACUGGGCGUAAAGCGAGUGUAGGUGGUUGUCCAAGUUGGAUGUGAAAGCCUUGAGCUCAACUCAAGAAAUGCAUUCAGGACUGGGCGGCUAGAGGACCGGAGAGGAUAGUGGAAUUCCCAGUGUAGUGGUGAAAUACGUAGAGAUUGGGAAGAACACCAGUGGCGGAGGCGGCUAUCUGGACGGUUUCUGACACUAAGACUCGAAAGCGUGGGGAGCAAACAGG
rnacentral:rRNA from 1 species